rnacentral:lncRNA from 1 species
CUCAGCCAGAAUGAGCUUUGUCACCCGAGAGAGCCUCGAGGUGGGUGGGAGUAAAGGGGGCGUUGUGAGAACAAUGGGAGAGUCGGCUUUAAGUGGAAGAAGAAAGAGUCACUAUCUACAGCAUGGAGUGGGGUUGGGGGGAGACAACCUUCACAAGGUUCACAGCUUUUCAGGGUAUGUGUGUGGAGGGGAGUCAGUCUUCCUUCGCCUCUGUGACUCCUGGGUUCACUGAACCAGCAUCCUGCCACUGAAGGACAACCUGCUGGUCCAGAUCAAAAGUCAAUAUAUGACAAUAAAACUACAGGAACAAGGGCUGGAGAGUAGCUCAGCCUUCAAUCCCAGCACUUGGGAGGAGGCAGGAAACAGUUGGAAACUUCAGGCAGCCUGUUGUUGCCUGGAAUGUCCUGCUGGAGACCCAUCACCCAGAAUCAGAGAGCUUCAAGGAACUAAGUCUGAGUUUAUUGAGCUAAUGUUUACAAAGCCUUCUUGAAAACUUUGCUGGCCAGGUAUGGUAGCAUCUGUCAUCCUACCAUUCUGGAAGCAGAGGCAGGAGAAUUUCAGCAAGUUCACAAGCCUGGUCUACACAGCUCUAAGUUAUCAGGGUACAUGGAGAGACCCCGACUCAAAACAAAACAACCUCCAUAUUGUCCCUUAAAACAAACAAACAAAAACCAAAA